GACGAACGCUGGCGGCGUGCCUAACACAUGCAAGUCGAACGGAAAGGCCCUGCUUUUGUGGGCUGCUCGAGUGGCGAACGGGUGAGUAACCCGUGAGUAACCUGUCCUUCACUUUGGGAUAACUUCAGGACACUGGGGCUAAUCCCGCAUAGGAGCUCCUGCUGCAUGGUGGGGGUUGGAAAGUUUCGGCGGUUGGGGAUGGACUCGCGCCCUAUCACCUUGUUGGUGGGGUAGUGGCUUACCAUGACUUUGACGGGUAGCCGGCCUGAGAGGAUGAGCAGCCACGUUGGGACUGGAAUACGGCGCAGACCCGUACGGGAGGGAAGAGAGGGGAAGAGUGCACAAGGGGCGGAAGGCUGAUGUGGCAACGCCGCGUGCGGGAUGAGGUCAAUCGGUUUGUAAACCACUUUCCUCUUUGACGAAGCGUUAAUGACGGUAAUGGGUAAAUAAGCUCCGGCUAACUACGUG
rnacentral:rRNA from 1 species